UACAGAGGUCUCGAGCGUUAGGCGGAAUCACUGGGCUUAAAGCGUGUGUAGGUGGAUCGUUAAGUACCUUGUGAAAUCCCACGGCUUAACCGUGGAACUGCUUGGUAUACUGGCGGUCUUGAGCCACUUAGGGGCUACCGGAACAAAUGGUGGAGCGGUGAAAUGCGUAGAUAUCAUUUGGAACGCCAAUGGUGAAAACAGGUAGCUGGGAGUGUGCUGACAGCUGAGACACGAAAGCCAGGGAGGCAAACGGG
rnacentral:rRNA from 1 species